CUUGGUCAUUUAGAGGAAGUAAAAGUCGUAACAAGGUUGACCCUUUGUACUCACCAUCGGAAGCCUUGUACCCCAGUCUGCACCUGUUGCGGGCAACACCAUUCUGUUGCUAGAAGCCCAGGCAACCUGUCCUUGGUUACUAGCAGUCGCCCAAAUUCGCGAUUCACAGAUCAAACAAUGGUGGUCCAUUUCGUUAACAGAUUUCAACAUGACCGGCCCCUCUUCGUUAAAGAACAGUGGUGUUGCGUUCCGUAGGUGAACCUGCGGAAGGAUCAUUACCGAGUCAGGGUCUUCCAGGCCCGAAACUCCAACCCUUUGUUAAAUUUACCAUGUUGCUUCGGCGGGUCCGUCCCUCACCGGACCGCUGGAGGCCGUGGCCUCUAGCCAGUGCUCGUCAGUAGCCCUCUCAAAUUCGUUUAUAAAUUGUGAUGUCUGAGUAAAAAUCAAAUCGUUAAAAAACUUUCAACAACGGAUCUCUUGGUUCUGGCAUCGAUGAAGAACGCAGCGAAAUGCGAUAAGUAAUGCGAAUUGCAGAAUUCAGUGAGUCAUCGAAUCUUUGAACGCAUAUUGCGCCCUUUGGUAUUCCAAAGGGCAUGCCUGUUCGAGCGUCAUUAUCAACCAUCAAGCCCGGCUUGUCGUUGGAUCUGACAUCGUUAAAAGAUGGAUCCGAAAGAUAAUGACGGCGUCGCGAUCGGCCCCAGGUGCAACGAGCUUUAGACGGCACGCAUUAUGGAGGUCGGCCGGCCCGGUCUUAACCAUUUCAUCUCUGAAGAUUGACCUCGGAUCAGGUAGGAAUACCCGCUGAACUUAAGCAUAUCAAUAAGCGGAGGA
rnacentral:rRNA from 1 species